rnacentral:rRNA from 1 species
UACGAAGGGGGCUAGCGUUGUUCGGAGUUACUGGGCGUAAAGAGUGCGUAGGUGGUGCCCUAAGUCUGUUGUGAAAUCUCCCGGCUUAACUGGGAGGGUGCGGUGGAAACUGGGGUGCUUGAGUGUGGGAGAGGUAAGCGGAAUUCCUGGUGUAGCGGUGAAAUGCGUAGAUAUCGGGAGGAACACCUGUGGCGAAAGCGGCGCACUGGACCAUAACUGACGCUGAGGCGCGAAAGCUAGGGGAGCAAACAGG